UACGGGGGGGGCAAGCGUUGUUCGGAAUUACUGGGCGUAAAGGGCUCGUAGGCGGCCAACUAAGUCAGACGUGAAAUCCCUCGGCUUAACCGGGGAACUGCAUCUGAUACUGGAUGGCUUGAGAUUGGGAGAGGGAUGCGGAAUUCCAGGUGUAGCGGUGAAAUGCGUAGAUAUCUGGAGGAACACCGGUGGCGAGGGCGGGUCUCUGGACAGUUCCUGACGCUGAGGCGCGAAGGCCAGGGGAGCAAACAGG
rnacentral:rRNA from 1 species